CUCAAAAUUCUCUCUUCUACUCAUUUCUCAUCAUCAUCUUCUUCUUCUUCUUCUUCUUCUCUCUCUCUCUCUCUCUCAUUCCAAUUACAAAAGUCAGACCAUUUUUCUCUCCAUUUCCUCUCAAAAUUUCGUGCUCCCUCUCUCUCUCUAAGGAAAGAAAAAGACUCCAUUGAAGCUCCUAAGCUUAUUUUGAAGAAACAAGUCACAAAAGAGAACUUAGGAGUGUUGCAUGCAAGAUCCAAGAGCUUCUAUGACAGCUUUGAACAUUAACAAGAGGUAUUGGGGAGAUGUUAGAAGUUGGAAAGCAUUUGGGAAGCUUAGAGCCAAACCCUAGAAGCUAAACUCAAAGCUUGAAUACAAGGUAA